UUUUAUGGCCGUUCCGUUCAAGUGAAGCUGCCUUAAGUUUUCCAUAUUCUCCAAGAUUUCUGGGAAGUACUGUAAUUGUGAACAGUCAGAGCAAAAGAGAGAUUUUAGGGAUUUGAACUCCCAAAUGCUUGUUGGUAGACUCUCAAGGUUUUUGCACUCUCGCAAACAUAAGGUAUCAAAUUCAGAGGCACACUCAAUGGGUGGUAGGCUGAUUGUCUGACCCUUUAAACAAAGCUUUCGGUGUUCCACAUUCCUCUGACAUUCAGCGCAGCUAGCAUCCACAUCAUCAGUCUGUACUAUUGGAUCUUGGGCGUAUAUAGGUUCAAGCCCACACUUGAGCACCUUAAAAUGAUUGCGACAGCCCAUAAAUAUAGCCCCAAGAAACAUGGAUGGAUUGGUGUGACAGCUCUCCAGAAUAGCAGCCUUGGGAUAGAAUAUCACCCACAUUUGUUCUGAUCCACCUCCAUCAUGGUAGCAUUUACAAGUAGUGCGAAAACUGAGACGUUGCGCACACAGGGUAGAAAAUCCAUAUCUAUCAUGUAAUGACAAUUUACAUUCUAACCCAGUGGAGAUUGAAGAUUCAGCUUCAAGUAAAUCGUCAUAUUCAUUUAGGGCUUCGUCACCAGAUUCAUUCUCCGAUGUAUGUGCAAAAUCAUUUUCUGGUAUGUCCUCACAUUCAUCGUGUGGAGCAUAAACACAGCAUAUAGCAAUUCCCAAGAAGUCAUUAUUUUCGUAACAAUUCUGAGGAAGGUCCAUUGUGAUAUGAUUUCCCUCUCUCUGAUUCCUUAUCCACUUGGGAAUUCCACAGCUUCCCGGAACAACAAUACAGACUCCAUUGCCAAUGAAGUCAGAAUCACGGAGAAAUACUUCAUUUGAACUGCUCUUGUAUUUCAAAUCCUGUACAAAAGGACAAUGUAAAUCCUGUGGGUCUGUGCCAUUAUGUGAGUUUUUAUGAGAGAGUUUGUUAUCAGUUUUUGAUAAAUUGAUUCCCAGUUUUAACUUUCUUUGAUCUAUGCUCCUGAAUCUACUUAAUAUCCCUUUUAGAUGACGGAUUAUCAAUCAACAUGAAAGUGAGUGACAAGAUUAAGUGUGAAAACUGGAAGUGAGGGGAAACUGAAACUGAAAGUGAGUAGAAUAACCAGAUCUCUUCUUCACUUGCAGUAGCUUCUUCUCCAUUCAGAUACAGAGAUCUUAGAAUUGUAGCUUCAACUUAACUCUCAGAAUCUUAAAGACAAAGUUCGCUCAAGUUUCAAAAACUCACACAAAAAUUUCUCCUCAUGUUUCUCUUAAUCCUAUGAGGCGAGAGACAUGUAGCACACACUUAUUGGCUUUUUUACAUGCAAGUUUCAAGGUGGAGCGUCUAAUGAACUAAAACAUUCCCUCAAAUCCCAGUGGAAAUUCACACUAGAAAUUGCAGAAUUUGCUAAGGAAAAGUUUAAUUCAUUUAAUCCAUGAAUAAAAAAGUAUGUGAGAGCAUUUUAACAUCCUAAUACUUAUUAUAUUAAACUAUAAUUCUCAUUAUUUAAACUCAUGAUCCUUCACUUCAUCACCAAAUUUUGAAGACACUUUUGGCAUCUCUUCCAUGAAUUAAUUGAUGUUUAAGAAGGUAUAAUAAACUUUUAAUUGAAUUUAACAUUAUUUCUAUCCUAAUACUCAUCUUAAACUCUGUUUUUUUUUUUUUUAUACUCUUAUCAAAACAAAUAAAAACUUAACAAAAAAAUAAAGAUUUCAAUUACUCCGUGUUCAAAAGGGAAAAUGGCUAAAUGUCAUGAAAAUCAUACCUCAAUAGUUGAUUUAAAGCAUUUGAACAGAGAAACACCAAGUAGACAUGAUGGACUUGAUAAAACUUCCAAGCAUGUGCAACUGUGGACAUCUAGAACUCGUAAACUUGGUGGAAGCUCUGGAACUUGUAGAAGCCCCUGGCAGUGACUCAAUUCAAGGACUCUCAGUUUAGAAAGUUGAAUGAUGCCUGCAAGUAUGCUACUAAAACAGUCCUUGCUUAGAUUUAGACCUGAAGCGUACAAACCCUCUAAACAUUGCAAACUCCUCAGGUUCUCGGGAAAUCUCUCAAGUUUUGUACAGAAACUGACAUUUAGAAUUUUGAGCGUUUUCAACUUACAAAUGGCCUCUGGAAGACUCACAAGGUUGCUGCAAUCUGCAAGAUUCAAAUGUUGAAGCCCUCUUAGAUAUUGAAUUGAUGCUGGUAGUUCUUCUAUAGCAGUUCCAUCUAAAUGAAGCUCUCUUAUAUUUUCCACAUCCUCGAGGAUUUCCGGAAAGCUCCUUAAUCGUGAACAGCCUGAGCAGAAGAGAGUUGUAAGGGAUUUCAACUCACAUAUGCUACUGGGAAGAAGCUCAAGGUUUUUGCAUUCUCGCAAACAUAACCUAUUAAGUUUAUGGGGACACUCAAUAGUGGGUAGUUCAUUGAUGGCAUUUCCCUUUAAACAAAGCUUCCAUAGGGAUUGCACAUCCUCUUGACAUUCCCGGCAAACGGUGGAUAUCAUUGCUUUACCAUGGUUCUGUUCAUGAUCAUGGGCAUAUAUAAGAUGGAUCCCACACUCUUCUACUUUCACUGCUUUACCUCUCAAGUAGCCACAAAAUGAAGCCGUCAACUGCCUCCAUUUAUUUGAGUGGUACUUCUCCCCAAUCUCAUACUUAGGAUAAUAAAUCAUCCACAUAUAAGGUACAACAUUGCCGUAAAAUGAGGGAUAAAACUGGAGUUUAUCCACAAACUGAAUUUCAUGACCACGCAAAGUCAAACCAUACUCGAAGUAAGUUGCAUCAUUCUCCAGUGUCUCCUCAGAUUCAUUAUCAAGUGGAUAAUAGACAGAGUACAAAACAAAACCCAACAAGUCGUCAUUUUUAUACCAAUUUUGAGGAAGCUUUGCUACUACUUCAGCUCCCUUUUUGUGAUGGCUUAUCCAAUUUGGAAUUCCACAACUUUCUGAAAUAAUAAGAUUUACUCGGGCAAAAGGUUUUUCUAAAGGAUAAAUCUUGCAUUCCAAAUCCUGCAGAAAAUUUAAUUAACACGUAAAUCCCCAUGUCUCCACAAAAAAAGUUUUGGUCUAUGAAUAUCAUACCUGAAUCAAUGAUUUGAAGCAGUUGAAUAGAGAAGACCAGAGUAGACCUGAAGAAGUUUCCAGCCGUUUGCACGAUUGUACAUCUAAGACACGCAAACUGGAUGGAAGCACUGGAAUUUGUCGAAGCUCUUGACAGUUACUCAAGACAAGGAGUCUCAGCCUAGAAAGUUGAUUGAUCCCAGCAGGUAUGCUCCUAAAAAGAUUCCCGAUUAGAAGUAAUUCUUGCAGAGAUGAUAGCUGGCAAAUUUCAGUGGGGAUUCCUCCUUCAUCUAUACCGCAGAAAGAUAGAUCUAACACUUCCACGGAGUACAAGCAGCAAAUAUCACUCAGGACUACUCCUUGCAUUAGCUUUGAGUAAAUAAGAUCCAACUCCUUUAAGGAGCAUAAACCUGACAAAGAAAGCAAUUGGCAACAUCUUGAAUUUAAGCCCCUAGCACGGAGACGCUUCAAGCUUUGCAGCCUCCCCAGGUUUUGUGGCAAUUUGUGGAGUUUUGAACAGAAAUUGACAUUGAGAUCCUCAAGAAAGCGUAAAUUACAAAUGCUUUCUGGAAGAGUCACAAGGUUUUUGCACCUCCCCAGAUUCAAAACUUGAAGCCUAUUCAAACGUUCGAUUGAAGAUGGUAGCUCUUUUAUAGCCGUUCCAUUCAAGUGAAGCUGCCUUAAGUUUUCCAUAGUCUCCAAGAUUUCUGGGAAGUACUGUAAUUGUGAACAGUCAGAGCAAAAGAGAGAUUUUAGGGAUUUGAACUCCCAAAUGAUUGUUGGUAGACUCUCAAGGUUUUUGCACUCUCGCAAACAUAAGGUAUCAAAUUCAGAGGCACGCUCAAUGGGUGGUAGGCUGAUUGUCUGACACUUUAAACAAAGCUUUCGGUGUUCCACAUUCCUCUGACAUUCAGCGCAGCUAGCUUCCACAUCCUCAGUCUGUACUAUUGGAUCUUGGGCGUAUAUAG
rnacentral:lncRNA from 1 species